rnacentral:rRNA from 1 species
AUACGGAAGGUCCGGGCGUUAUCCGGAUUUAUUGGGUUUAAAGGGAGCGCAGGCGGAGAUGCAAGCGUGACGUCAAAUUUCGGGGCUCAACCCCGUCUCGCGUCGCGAACUGCGUCCCUUGGUUGCGGGAAGGGGAGGCGGAACUCGUGGUGUAGCGGUGAAAUGCAUAGAUAUCACGAAGAACUCCGAUCGCGAAGGCAGCCUUCCGGCCCGUCAACGACGCGCAUGCUCGAAGGUGCGGGUAUCAAACAGGAUUAGAUACCCUGGUAGUCCGCACAGUAAACGAUGGACACCCGCGGUUUGGCCUGUAUGGCUGAGCCGCCAAGCGAAAGCGUUAAGUGUCCCACCUGGGGAGUACGCCGGCAACGGUGAAACUCAAAGGAAUUGGCGGGG